rnacentral:rRNA from 1 species
AACGAACGCUGGCGGCAGGCCUAACACAUGCAAGUCGAGCGCACCUUCGGGUGAGCGGCGGACGGGUUAGUAACGCGUGGGAAUAUGCCCUUCUCUACGGAAUAGCCUCGGGAAACUGAGAGUAAUACCGUAUACGCCCUUCGGGGGAAAGAUUUAUCGGAGAAGGAUUAGCCCGCGUUGGAUUAGGUAGUUGGUGGGGUAAUGGCCUACCAAGCCGACGAUCCAUAGCUGGUUUGAGAGGAUGAUCAGCAACACUGGGACUGA